AGAGUUUGAUCCUGGCUCAGAACAAACGCUGGCGGCGUGGCUAAGACAUGCAAGUCGAACGGACUAUUCAAUUGAGUAAUCGAGCGAAUAGUUAGUGGCGUAAGGGUGAGUAACGGACAGGUAACGUACCCCGUGCUUCGGGAUAGCGUCAGUUCGCUUUCGGGCGGACAUCCGAAAGGGGCGGUAAUACCGGAUAAUAUCAUUUGUCGAUAGGCGGAUGAUCAAAGAUUUAUCGGCACGGGAGCGGCCUAUUUCUUAUCAGCUUGUUGGUGAGGUAAUGGCCCACCAAGGCUAUGACGGGUAGCGGGACUGAGAGGUUGGCCCGCCACAUCGGGACUGAGACACUGCCCGGACCUCCACGGAGGGCUGCAGUAACGAAUCUUGCGCAAUGGGCGAAAGCCUGACGCAGCGACGCCGCGUGCGGGAAGAAGUCCUUCGGGAUGUAAACCGCUGUCAGGGGUAAGAAAGUCCGCUUCGGCGGAUUGAUCUAACCCAGAGGAAGUCACGGCUAACUUCGUGCCAGCAGCCGCGGUAAGACGAAGGUGACGAGCGUUGUUCGGUAUCACUGGGCUUAAAGAGUGUGUAGGCGGAGAGGUAAGCGUCUUGUGAAAGCCCCCGGCUUAACCGGGGAAUUGCUCGACGAACUGCUUUUCUUGAGGCAAGUAGGGGUGCACGGAACUCUUGGUGGAGUGGUGAAAUGCGUAGAUAUCAAGAGGAACGCCGGUGGAGAAAUCGGUGCACUGGGCUUGUUCUGACGCUGAGACACGAAAGCGUGGGGAGCGAACGGGAUUAGAUACCCCGGUAGUCCACGCCGUAAACGAUGUCUACUAGGUUGUGGAAGUUCUGACGCUUGCACGGCCGAAGCAAAAGUGAUAAGUAGACCGCCUGGGGGAGUACGGCCGCAAGGCUAAAACUCAAAUGAAUUGACGG
rnacentral:rRNA from 1 species